UAGAGUUUGAUCCUGGCUCAGGAUAAACGCUGGCGGCGUGCCUAACACAUGCAAGUCGAACGCGGCACGGGGCAACUCGUGUCGAGUGGCGGACGGGUGAGGAACACGUGGGUUAUCUACCUUGAGGUGAGGAAUACCGGCGAGAAAUCGCCGACAAUACCGCAUACGUUUGGAGACAAACAAAGUCCCGGCAACGGGACGCCACAAGAUGAGCCUGCGCCCGAUUAGCUUCGUUGGUGGGGUAAUGGCCUACCAAGGCGACAAUCGGUAGCUGGUCUGAGAGGACGAUCAGCCACACUGGGAUUGAGAACGGCCCAGACUCCUACGGGGGGCAGCAGUGAGGAAUUUUCGUCAGUGGGGGAAACCCUGAACGAGCAACGCCGCGUGCAGGAAGAAGGUUUUCGGAUCGUAAACUGCUUUUCUUGGGGAAGAGAAGGGACGGUACCCAAGGAAUAAGCCCCGGCUAACUACGUGCCAGCAGCCGCGGUAAUACGUAGGGGGCAAGCGUUGUCCGGAUUUAUUGGGCGUAAAGCGCCCGCAGGCGGUGCAAUAAGUUGCGAGUGACAGGUGGUGGCUUAACUGCCACAGGGCUCGGAAAACUGUUGCACUUGAGGGCUUGAGAGGGACGCGGAAUUCCAGGUGGAGCGGUGAAAUGCGUAGAGAUCUGGAAGAACACCAAAGGCGAAGGCAGCGUCCUGGCAAGCAUCUGACGCUCAUGGGCGAAAGCUAGGGGAGCGAACGGGAUUAGAUACCCCGGUAGUCCUAGCCGUAAACGAUGACCACUAGACGUGGGGGGUAUCGACCCCUUCUGUGUCGAAGCAAACGCAUUAAGUGGUCCGCCUGGGGAGUACGGUCGCAAGAUUAAAACUCAAAGGAAUUGACGGGGACCCGCACAAGCAGCGGAGCGUGUGGUUUAAUUCGAUGCAACGCGAACAACCUUACCAAGGCUUGACAUGCAUUUGCACCAGUCGUAAUGGACUGUCUGGGAGACCAGCGGAUGCACAGGUGCUGCAUGGCUGUCGUCAGCUCGUGUCGUGAGAUGUUGGGUUAAGUCCCGCAACGAGCGCAACCCCUAUUGUUAGUUGAAAAAUCUAGCGAGACUGCCACGCUAAACGUGGAGGAAGGUGGGGAUGACGUCAAGUCAGCACGGCCCUUACGCCUUGGGCGACACACACGCUACAAUGGUCAGGACAAAGGGUAGCCAACCCGCGAGGGGGAGCCAAUCUCAUCAAACCUGAUCUCAGUUCAGAUUGCAGGCUGCAACCCGCCUGCAUGAAGGAGGAGUUGCUAGUAACCGGAGGUCAGCACACUCCGGUGAAUACGUUCCCGGGUCUUGUACACACCGCCCGUCACACCACGAAAGUCGGCAACACCUGAAGCCGCCAAGCUAACGAGCAAUCGGGGCAAGCGUCGAGGGUGGGGUCGGUGAUUGGGGUGAAGUCGUAACAAGGUAACCGU
rnacentral:rRNA from 1 species